UACGGAGGAUGCAAGCGUUAUCCGGUUUUAUUGGGCGUAAAGCGUCCGUAGGUGGUUCUUCAAGUCUGCUGUCAAAGCGCGAGGCUUAACUUCGUACAGGCAGUGGAAACUGGUGGACUUGAGAGUGAUAGGGGCAGAGGGAAUUCCCAGUGUAGCGGUGAAAUGCGUAGAGAUUGGGAAGAACACCGGUGGCGAAAGCGCUCUGCUGGGUCAUAUCUGACACUGAGGGACGAAAGCUAGGGGAGCGAAAGGG
rnacentral:rRNA from 1 species